rnacentral:rRNA from 1 species
AAAUUGAAGAGUUUGAUCAUGGCUCAGAUUGAACGCUGGCGGCAGGCCUAACACAUGCAAGUCGAGCGGCAGCGGAAAGUAGCUUGCUACUUUGCCGGCGAGCGGCGGACGGGUGAGUAAUGUCUGGGAAACUGCCUGAUGGAGGGGGAUAACUACUGGAAACGGUAGCUAAUACCGCAUAACGUCGC